rnacentral:rRNA from 1 species
ACCCAUAGGCUGCUUCCGAAACUGCUGUGCUUGAGUGUGGGAGAGGCGCGUGGAAUUGCAGGUGUAGCGGUGAAAUGCGUGGAUAUCUGCAGGAACACCCGUGGCGAAAGCGGCGCGCUGGACCACAACUGACGCUGAGGAACGAAAGCUAGGGGAGCAAACAGGAUUAGAUACCCUGGUAGUCCUAGCCCUAAACGAUCAGGACUUGGGGUGCCUUCCGUUCGGAAGUCGUCCCGGAGCUAACGCGUUAAGUCCUGCACCUGGGGAGUACGGUCGCAAGACUGAAACUCAAAGGAAUUGACGGGGGCCCGCACAAGCGGUGGAACAUGUGGUUCAAUUCGACGCUACGCGAGGAACCUUACCUGGGCUCGAAAUGCUUCUGACCAGCUGUAGAAAUACGGCCUUCCCGCAAGGGACAGGAGUAUAGGCGCUG